GCUCCCAGUGCCUUCCCAGGAGCUCUCGUGGACCUCCUGGUGCCACCUCGAGGUUCUCAGACACUUCCCCAUCCUCCUUGAAGCCAUACCAGUAUGUCCCAGUAUGACCCAGUGUGUCCCAGUAUGUCCCUCUGGUCUAUUGGUGGUGCCCCAGUGCCUCCCAGUAGCUCCCAGUGCCUUCCCAGGAGCUCUCGUGGACCUCCUGGUGCCACCUCGAGGUUCUCAGACACUUCCCCAUCUUCCUUGAAGCCAUACCAGUAUGACCCAGUAUGUCCCAGUAUGUCCCUCUGGACUAUUGGCGGUGCCCCAGUGCCUCCCAGUAUCUCCCAGUACCACCCCAGAAGCUCUCAAAGCCCCACUGGUGCCACCUCGAGGUGCUCAGCUGUUUCCCCAUCCUCCCUGCUGCCAUCCCAGUUCCUCCCAGUAGCUCCCAGUGCACUCCUGGUGCCGCUCCAGCAUCUCCCAGUAAGGUCCAGUGCCCUCCCAGUGCCCCUCCGUAUCUCCCAGUGGCCCCUCGGCCCCUCCCAGUUCCUCCCAGUCCCGUCAGAGCUGACUCACUCCCCAGUACUUCCUCAAUACUGGGCAGGGCGGCACCUCCCAGUUGUUUCCUGUCUGUCCCAGUUGCUUCCAGUCUGCCCCAGUUGCCUCCCAGUCUGCCCCAGUUGCCUCCCAAUGGCCCUCAACCCCACCCCAGCAGCUCCCAGUGCCCUCCCAGUGCCCCUCAACCCCCUCCCAGUGCCCACCAGUCCCUCCCAGCCCCAAACCAGUCCCUCCCAGCCCCCUCCCAGCCCCCCCCAGUCCCCUCCCAGUUCAUCCCAGUGCCCACCAGUGGACUCAUCGGCAGCUAGGAUGCCCUUGCCGGGGGCCACGAUGCGCCGGGCGAUGUCGGCGAGCUCCUGCUUCUGCUCGGGGGUGAGCGCCGGGUACUGGUGCGGCAUGGUGGUGGCACUGGGGACAAGAUGGGGACAGCGUCAGGGGGACACCGGGGAACCCGGGGAGAACGUCGGGGACCCCGAGAACGUUGGGGACCCCAUGAGGAGCCCAUGGGGACAUCAGGAACCCCAAGAGGAACAUCAGGAACCCUACAGAGAACGUUGGGGACCCCAUGGAGAACCUCAAGAACCUCAUGGAGAACAUUGGGGUCUCCUUGGAGAACCCAUGGGGACAUCGGGGACCCCAUGGAGAACCCAUAGGGGACAUUGGGGACCCCAUGGGGAACAUCAGGAACCCCAAGGAGAACAUUGGGGUCCCCUUGGAGAGCCCAUGGGGACAUCGGGGACCCCAGGGAGAACCCAUGGGGACAUUGGGGACCCCAUGGAGAACAUUGGGGUCCCCUUGGAGAACCCAUGGGGACAUUGGGGACCCCAUGGGGAACAUCAGGGACCCUAAAGAAGGUUGGGGUCCCCUUGGAGAACCCAUGGGGACAUCGGGGACCCCAAGGAGAACAUUGGGGACCCCAUGGGGAACAUCAAGAACCCCAGAGAAGGUUGGGGUCCCCUUAGAGAUCCCAUAAGGGACAUUGGGCACCCCAGGGAGAACCCAUGGGGAACUUUGGGGACCCCACGGGGAACAUCAGGAACCCUACAGAGAACAUUGGGGUCCCCUUGGAGAACCCAUUGGGGACAUCGGGACCCCAGGGAGAACCCAUGGAGAACUUUGGGGACCCCAUGGGGAACAUAGGAACCCCAAGAGGAACAUCAAGAACCCCACGGAGAACAUUGGGGACCCCUUGGAGAACCCAUGGAGAACUUUGGGGACCCCAUGGAGAACAUUGGGGUCCCCUUGGAGAUCCCAUGGGGACAUCGGGGACCCCACGGGGAACCCAUGGAGAACUUUGGGGACCCCAGGGGGGACAUUGGGGACCCUACAGAGAACCCUUGGAGAACGUUGGGGACCCCAAAAAGAACCCCAUGGGGACCCCAGGGACAGGGGAGGGUGGGAGGGGGCACCCAUGGGUGCUGAGGGGACACCGAGGGGACCUGGGGACACCCAAGGGACAGCGAGGAGGGACACAAGGGUGCCUGGGGACACCCAAGGGUGCCUGGGGACACCGAGGAACCGCCCAAGGGGACACCAAGGACAUCAAGGAGGGACCCAGGGGACACCGAGGGGACACCCAAAGGACCUGGGGCCACCCAAGGGGGACACAGGAGCACCCAAGGGAGCUGGGGACACCCAAGGGGACACCGGGCCACCCAAAGGACACCAAGGAAGCACCCAAGGGACACCAAGGAGGG
rnacentral:lncRNA from 1 species